GGGCAACAGCCCAGAUCGUCAGCUAAGGUCCCUAAAUGUAAGUUAAGUGGUAAAGGAUGUGGGAUUGCACAGACAACCAGGAUGUUGGCUUAGAAGCAGCCACUCAUUCAAAGAGUGCGUAAUAGCUCACUGGUCGAGUGAUCCUGCGCCGAAGAUUUCCGGGGCUAAAACUUACUACCGAAGCUACGGCAUCAGUAAUGAUGGGUAGGGGAGCUUCCCAUACGGGUUGAAGCAUGACCGUAAGGACAUGUGGACAGUAUGGGAGUGAGAAUGUUGGCAUGAGUAGCGAGAUGUGGGUGGGAAUCCCACAGGCCGUAAACCCAAGGUUUCCAGGGGAAGGUUCGUCCGCCCUGGGUUAGUCGGGACCUAAGCUGAGGCCGAAAGGCGUAGGUGAUGGACAACAGGUUGAUAUUCCUGUACUACCGAUAACCGUUUGAGAGAAGGGAUGACACAGUAGGAUAAGCUAAGCACACUG
rnacentral:rRNA from 1 species